rnacentral:tRNA from 1 species
GGGGGCGUGGUGGAAUGGUAGACGCAGGGGACUCAAAAUCCCCCGGCCGCGAGGCCUUGCCGGUUCGAGUCCGGCCGCCCCUACCA